rnacentral:rRNA from 1 species
GACGAACGCUGGCGGCGUGCUUAACACAUGCAAGUCGAACGGAAAGGCCCUGCUUUUGUGGGGUGCUCGAGUGGCGAACGGGUGAGUAACACGUGAGUAACCUGCCCUUGACUUUGGGAUAACUUCAGGAAACUGGGGCUAAUACCGGAUAGGAGCUCCUGCUGCAUGGUGGGGGUUGGAAAGUUUCGGCGGUUGGGGAUGGACUCGCGGCUUAUCAGCUUGUUGGUGGGGUAGUGGCUUACCAAGGCUUUGACGGGUAGCCGGCCUGAGAGGGUGACCGGCGACAUGGGGACUGAGAUACGGCCCAGACUCCUACGGGAGGCAGCAGUGGGGAAUAUUGCACAAUGGGCGGGAGCCUGAUGCAGCAACGCCGCGUGCGGAAUGACGGCCUUCGGGUUGUAAACCGCUUUCGCCUGUGACGAAGCGUGAGUGACGGUAAUGGGUAAAGAAGCACCGGCUAACUACGUG